AUUGAACGCUGGCGGCAUGCUUUACACAUGCAAGUCGAACGGUAACAGGCCGCAAGGUGCUGACGAGUGGCGAACGGGUGAGUAAUGCAUCGGAACGUGCCCAGUCGUGGGGGAUAACGCAGCGAAAGCUGUGCUAAUACCGCAUACGAUCUAUGGAUGAAAGCGGGGGACCGUAAGGCCUCGCGCGAUUGGAGCGGCCGAUGUCAGAUUAGCUAGUUGGUGGGGUAAAGGCCCACCAAGGCGACGAUCUGUAGCUGGUCUGAGAGGACGACCAGCCACACUGGGACUGAGACACGGCCCAGAAUCCUACGGGAGGCAGCAGUGGGGAAUUGUGGACAAUGGGCGCAAGCCUGAUCCAGCAAUGCCGCGUGCAGGAAGAAGGCCUUCGGGUUGUAAACUGCUUUUGUACGGAACGAAACGGUCUGGGUUAAUACCCUGGGCUAAUGACGGUACCGUAAGAAUAAGCACCGGCUAACUACGUGCCAGCCGCCGCAGUAA
rnacentral:rRNA from 1 species